GACGAACGCUGGCGGCGCGCUUAACACAUGCAAGUCGAACGGAAAGGCCUGCUUUCCCUUGUGGAUUGCGGGUACUCGAGUGGCGAACGGGUGAGUAACACGUGAGUGAUCUGCCCCCAACUUGGGUAUAAGCCUGGGAAACUGGGUCUAAUUCCCGAUAGGACUGCAGGGUGGUGCCUGUGGUGGAAAACGAUUUUCUAGUGGUUGGGGAUGAGCUCGCGGCCUAUCAGCUUGUUGGUGGGGUAAUGGCCUACCAAGGCGGCGACGGGUAGCCGGCCUGGGAGGGUCGACGGCCACAUUGGGACUGAGAUACGGCCCAGACUCCUACGGGAGGCAGCAGUGGGGAAUAUUGCACAAUGGGCGGAAGCCUGAUGCAGCGACGCCGCGUGGGGGAUGACGGCCUUCGGGUUGUAAACUCCUUUCGACCGCGAGGAAGCCACCUGGUUGGAAGGGUGGUGACGGUAGUGGUAGAAGAAGCACCGGCUAACUACGUG
rnacentral:rRNA from 1 species